AUUUCCCACCCUCCCCUGCAUCGAGACCACAGCCUGCCCUCCCCUUCACACGCUGGGAGCCUGGGGAAAGAUGUCCACACGCUCACACACAGAACUCAAAGACUUCUUCACCUCAGAAGAAUGCGUACAAACCACCGUGCAGUCAGCCCCGUUUAACCAUCUAUGCUGGACAAAUACAACCCGGGCUCACGUGUGCCGGCCUGGAGUGGCCUGGGAGGGGAUCGAGGCAAGUGUGCACGUGCAGGCCCUUAGGAAGCGCAGGGCUGCGGCUGCUCAGAUUCUGCUUCAGUGUAUGGAAUCUUGAAUGAAACAGGACUCCAGAGGUCAGAGGUGUUACCAAAGUCAUUCUUCAGGAAUGAAGGGGUAAAAGCCACUGGGACAGUCUUGGGCAAGUAACUGAACCUGAGCCUUGGUUUCCACCUCUGUGAAAUGGGAUAAACCCAUCUUCUCGUUCUUAGAGAUCCGGGUCGAGCAUCAGUUAUAGGCAUGUAAGUAUUUGGAAACUGCAAAGUCCCGUGCACUUUUCUCACUGCGCUGCUCUUACUACCGCCCUGCCGUUAGCCAGGACUUUAUCAACAUCAUUCAACCACGUUUAUAUUAAGGACCAUGAUUGCAAAUGGCUUUUCCUAACCACUAUCCAUACUUCUGGGGAUCCAAAAGAGAAGAGACUUGCGGAAUAAAAAGGAACAGUUAAAGAUGAUGCGCUUCCAAAUACAGAAAGGUCCACUGAACACUUCUGCUGUGCCUUAGACUAUGCUGGAGGAGGGAGGAAGACAGAUGAAGAGAUCAAGACAUUUUCUUUAUGCGUAACCUAAUACAAUAAGCAAUACUGACUCACGUGGUACCCUCUCACCAACAUACCCAAAUCUGGAUGAAAUCCCAAACAUUUUUGUCAAUAUGCAAAGUAUAGCAAAAAGUCAAAACCAUCAUAGCUAUUAGCUCUACACAAGAACAGAUGCUUCCCACAGACAGUGGAUUACGCAGUUUCCCACCCCCCCUUUCCCACUCAAGAGAACAGAUUUGAACGUAAGGGACUACGAAUGACAUUAUUACAGAAAUAAAUUGGAGUUAGCACUCAUUAUUUUUAUCAUUCACAAUUACUAAUUACAGGUGACAUCUCACAACCAGUCACGACUUAGCAGCAUGCUGAGUCCAGACAAUCACCUGAGGCUGAAAGACCUUAUCUAUUCUCCUGUAGAUGUCCCAGAGCACAGAGACCAGUGUCUGGCACAUGGCAAAAGCCCAACAGAUAUCUACAUUGUGAUUAAAUUAUAUUUCAUUUGCUCCCUGGGAAAGGAGCAGACCUAUUAAAUCCAUCCACUAUUUAUGGGACACUGACCUUGAGCAAGGCAACAGGAUAGGUGUUCUACAUCCAGGAUCUUACUUACUGUCCUCCCUCCCCAAUAACUCUGUUAGACAGGCACUAUCAUCCCUACUUUUCUGAUGACCACGGUGGCUGAGAAAAGG